UCAGUAUCUGAAGGGGGCCUGCAAGAAAGCUGGGAGCAAAAUGGAUGUUUUUCCAAGGCAAUCCUGGAGCCUUCAGAGCAGGAGAUGUUUGCCCGCUCGACGUGGCUGGAAGCCCCUUCUGGCAAGCCCUCCAGGAGCCCGUGGGCAGGAGGUCUGCACAGGUGAGGAGGGCUUCCUGAGUGGCCUGCAAAGCAGCAAGGCUGACACUCUGCUGUCUGCACAGGGAUUCCUCAGGCACAGCAGGAUGUCCUGAGCGUUAUGCAGCCUGAGGCUUGCAGGUUGUCCUCACCAAGAACUCUCCGAUCUUCCACAUCUGCUCUGUCUCCACCAG